rnacentral:rRNA from 1 species
AUUGAACGCUGGCGGCAGGCCUAACACAUGCAAGUCGAACGGUAGCACAGAGAGCUUGCUCUCGGGUGACGAGUGGCGGACGGGUGAGUAACGUCUGGGAAACUGCCCGAUGGAGGGGGAUAACUACUGGAAACGGUAGCUAAUACCGCAUAACGUCACAAGACCAAAGUGGGGGACCUUCGGGCCUCACACCAUCGGAUGUGCCCAGAUGGGAUUAGCUAGUAGGUGGGGUAAUGGCUCACCUAGGCGACGAUCCCUAGCUGGUCUGAGAGGAUGACCAGCCACACUGGAACUGAGACACGGUCCAGACUCCUACGGGAGGCAGCAGUGGGGAAUAUUGCACAACGGGCGCAAGCCUGAUGCAGCCAUGCCGCGUGUAUGAAGAAGGCCUUCGGGUUGUAAAGUACUUUCAGCGGGGAGGAAGGCGGUGAAGUUAAUAACUUCACCGAUUGACGUUACCCGCAGAAGAAGCACCGGCUAACUCCGUGCCAGCCGCCGCCGUAA